AUGCACUGUACAUAACUUUAACACACUGUAAAAGAGAUUCUCCAAAAUUAAAAUAUUAUAUAAUAUUUCAAAUAUUAUUUAAAUAUACAUUCUUGUCAUACUUUAUCAAAAGCCUUUUCAAAGUCAGCUAUGAAUACCAGGCCUGGUUUCCCAGAUGUUUCGUGGUGUUCUAUUGCUUCCAGUUCUUGUCUUAUAUUAUCUGUACUGUUUCGUCCAUAUGUCCGAUUAGGAUGAAUAAUACCUUUUAAUUCUAUGCGCUAUGCAAUUUGCUAUAAUCUUUGCAUCACAACACGGAAGUGUAAGGGGCCUCCAAUUUUUUUUAUAGACUGGAUCUUUAUAUUUACCACUUGGGUCCUGUUUCAGUAAUAAUGAAAUCAGACCUUCCUGUUGAGUAUCUGAUAAUCUACCAUUUUUAUAGGAGUGGGUAAAACAUGCUAAUAACGGUCUUUGGAGUACAUCAAAAAAAGGUUUGCUUUACCUCAACUGGUAUGCCAUCCAGCACUGGAGUUUUCCCGGACUAAAAGGCUUUAAUAGGCUCUAUGCAUUAUACCGCCUCCCACAUUCUAUUUUACUUCCUACGGGUGCGCUGACUUUCGGAGCGAUUUUCGCUAUUGUUUUUAUCAUUAGCUUACUAGCUAGCUAACUGUCGUCGAUGCAUUUCUGACUGAAAUUGUUCGCAAUGACUACAUUUAAAUUACAGCCCCGUGAAGGACGUGCUAAUGAACAUUGUUCAGUGCCGCUGUGUUCAUUUUCUUCAAAGUGUAAUGGUAUUGUGAGCUUUCCGUAGCUUCCCGGGUCGAUGUAGAGAAAAAGGUGGUUGGUGGCAGUACGUUGUGACAACAGCUACAAUAGCAGCUAGGUCAUGUCUAGUGCUACUUGAUGAUUAGAGAAGAUGGGCAAUAAUAGUAAUGAGUUUAUUUGGUAUUCAAAUACUCUGGGUCCAUCUUUAGAUUUACAAGCUACACCCACCUGAUGGCCUUCUGGCACUUGAUUGAGUGGGCAGCAGAGACUACGUUUAUAAGAGUCACAAGCACCAAUCUAUCUGAAACAAGUGUUACUUGAAGAAAACCAACACUGCCAUCAAUCGACGGGUUCUUCUUGUUUAUGACUCAUCUGUUGCUGGGUCUGAAAGCAGAAGGAUUUGGCCCAUCGGUUCAGCAUCCACCAAUCGACAGUGAGACGGAUUAUUAUCUCUUGGGCCAACUUCCUCUACUGUCUGCAUGGAUCAGCACGGAUAUGGAUCCCCAAGGAAACCAUCAAAGCCCACCUGCCACCUGAGUUCAAGGACUAUCCAGACACCCAGGUAGUGAUCGACUGCACUGAACUCCACUGCCAGACACCAUCUUCACUACUACUGCAGAGUGAGGUGUUUUCUUCCUACAAGUCACACUGUACCUUUAAGUGCAUGUUGGGAAUGUCACCACAUGGAGCUGUCACUUUUGUGUCGUCGUUGUAUGCUGGAUCUAUGAAUGACAAGGAGAUCUUCAAGCAGUCUGGAAACAUUUCCUUACUCACCCCUGACAUGGCCAUUAUGGUGGAUAAGGGCUUUCUCGUAGAUGACAUUGUUCCGUGCAAGGUCUACCGGCCAGCCUUUCUGUCAAGACGCACACAGAUGCCAGCGCAUGAGGUUAGGGAGACCCAAUCCAUUGCCAGGCUGAGAGUGCAUGUUGAAAGAAUGAUCCGCAGAGUAAAGGAACACAAGCUGUUUGACACAGUCAUCCCCCUGACCAUCUCAGGCAGCAUCAAACAAUUAUUUGCAGUGGUGUGCCUGUUGGUCAACUAUCAAAACGGACCUUUGGUCAGAGCAUGGGCCAAGCCAGUGUAAAUGUGCAUGUGUUUAUUUGCUAGCAGCAAAAUUAUAAUUUGUUUUUCUAUGACAUGUAUCAAUAAAUUGUGUUGCAGUGAA